UUUAUACAUCAGGAAGGUCUAUAUGACCUGCCAACCGACUCUGGGUGAGCACGGUGGUUUGAAUCCUUAAACGGUAGAUGUGCCUUGAAAAAGGAAACCUAGAAGCCACCU
rnacentral:ncRNA from 1 species